AAGAGAGCAAACAGAACAAGAGAAAGACGUUUGGGGAUGGGUCGAUUUUCUCUGCCUCAUGCGGUUUUGGUGGCUUGCAGUAAAUGAGUUUCUAAUGAUGUUUUUAUAGAGCUGUUUUUAUUUAGUGAGGCUGACACAGCUCCUGUUGCUUCUUGUGCUGUGUCCUGGGGAACCAGAUGAAAGCAGGAGGGAGAAGUCUUGAAGCUGGGGUUGCUGGUCUCCUUGUCCUUUUGGGAAGGACCCCGGCCAUUAACUCUUCGCUUUGCCACUCCCUGCAUCGAGCAUUCAAUGAGUCCGUACUACAUGCCCACAACUCUGACCUUUGAGUAUCACAGUCUUAUGUGGGAGAGAAACACAGACAGUGAUAACUCUGUGAUAAUUCUGAUACAGGGGCUAGAAAGAAAUUAUUCAGGCAGAUAGUGAGGGUAAAGGAGUCCUCAGGAAGGCUUCCCUUUUAACAAAAUGCAGCCCCCAAAUCAUUUCUUUUCUACCAAAGAGCAGCCUGAAAAAUCAAGCUGCAAAUAUGCAAGCUGGAACCUGGCAUAGGUGAAUGCCGGCAGCUGGACCAAUAGGAAAGGGCUACCUGGGAGCCAGGUGUGUUCAAUAUGGAGUCUCUAUCUCCCCUUUUCUUUGUCACCAUGUGUACAGUAAAAAAGCAGGCAGCUUCUUCACACACUAUGCAAAUGACACACCCAGUCUUAAUCAGUUCUUCGCAUGCUAUGCAAAUUGCACACCUGGUCUGACCAAUCUUUUAUGCCCUAUGUAAAUCAGAGACCACCUUCUCAGGCUUAUCUAUAAAACCUCCUGCACUUCACCACGGGGCUGGAGGACCGGCUCGGGACCCCCUCUCUCUGCAGGAGAGAGCUUUUCUCUUUCUUUCGCCUAUUAAACCUCCACUCUUAACCUCACUCCUUCUAUGUCUGUGUUCCUGAUUUCCCUGGCAUGGGAAACGUCCCCACCUUUGAGAGGAAAAGGCAAGAGAAGACUUCUUGGAGGAGGUGAUGCCUGUACUGAGUCUUGAAGAAUGAGCAGGAGAACUCAGGAAAAGAAGGCACAACAGGGCUUUGAGGCUUUGGAGCCUCAAAAGGGCUUUGAAGGGAAGGUGUGAGCAGAGAACUGCCAGAAAGCACAUUUUAGUCCAGAGACGUUCAAGUCAUUGGAUUUAAGUGGAGAAUUUCAGAGGCAAGUGAUGGGAGAUGAUAAUGACAACCCUAUUGAGAGC
rnacentral:lncRNA from 1 species